CGAAAAGUCCAUAUUCAAAAUGUGCUUCAGUAACCUCAGCACCCCAAACUAUUGGAUUUGAAUAAGUAUCUAAGUUUACAUAUCAAAUUUAAUCUAGUAACAUUGUAUCAAAUAACAUAAAAGGAGGAGAUUAUACACUGAGAGAUACUAAAUUAAUACAGACUUAGAUGAAUUUAAACUAUGAAGCGAUGAAUCUAAUCAAACAAAUAAGCCAAAGCUUCCUACUCAAACAACAACAGUGAAUCUCUCAUGAGCCAUACCAAAUGAGGUUCAACAUACAUACAUGGUACAACAAAUAAACAAGGAAAAUCUUAGGUUAAGAAGGAGCAAACAGCAGUAACCCAGCAAAGAAUGGAAUCAAACCCCAACAACUUCCGGCCAAAACCAAACAGCAAAACAGCUUUCAAACCAUUUCUUGAUCUCCAAAUGAGGUAAAGACCUCUUGAAGGUUCUAUGUUCAGAAGUUUUAGAACACAAACCAAAGCCAAAUUCAACAAAUAAAUGCAGAACUUCAAUGUCCUCUUCAAAGUUUUCCAAAACCAGUCGUUUCAAUUUUUUAGGAUUUUCAGUCUCUAAAGUCUCCGAUUUGCUAAUGAAGAAAGGGUGUCUUUAUAGGCAAGCUUUUAUGGAAACAAUAAUGAGCUAAGUUUUGCACUUUUAUCCUUUUGAAAAU
rnacentral:lncRNA from 1 species